GGGGGGGACGGUUGUAACUGUUCCCGCCCCAAAUAACCCCUAUAAAAUGAUUUGUUUUCUUUGUCUGAUGGGAUAAGAAACAAAUAUACAGAGAAUAAAAAAUUGGGUCUUGAAUACAGAGAAAAAUCAGUGACAACAAUAAGAGCAUUUAGUUUGUAAUUAAAGUUUUGUUUCCAAGUGAUUCAAAACAGAUUUGGGCAGAUCCAAUUUCAGAAGCACAUACAAUUCUGCUACAUACUAAGAAUUGCCUGAACAAAGACAAACUCGAAUUACUCCAAGUGGGAGUUCGAGAUGUCGAGAAAAGAAACAAAGUAGAAGACCACGUCGACGAAGGACAUGUUUUCGAGGUCGUGAGAUCAUAAGAAACGGUGUUCCUAGGGCGACUCAAAAUCUGUUAUGGAAUGAAAGGGCUAUACAAAGGAAAAGAGAAAAGAAGUUGAAAAAAUUCAAGUCUUUUAAGAUGUCACCUAACAUUAGUGUUGCUAGUUUUAUUCAUUUGUUUGAAAUGAAAUGUGUAAAACUAGAAAACUAUGUAAAAAUCUCGGAUUGGGAAGUAUUAGCUAUAUUAGCAAAUUCUCUCCGUGACCCUUAUGGCGAGAGAUUAAUUGAUGUUUAGCACGAGAUUUGGCCUAGCGAGCCUUUUUGGGUAUACAUAAGUCGUCUAGAAUAUUUGUGAAAUGACUUUCAUUUCUAGAUUGACUUGUAACAUAAAGUUGUUAUAAACUUUAUAUUAUACAUAUAUUAAGUUGUUUA